rnacentral:rRNA from 1 species
CCUACGGGCGGCUUCAGUGAGGAAUAUUGGUCAAUGGACGAGAGUCUGAACCAGCCAAGUAGCGUGAAGGAUGACUGCCCUAUGGGUUGUAAACUUCUUUUAUAUGGGAAUAAAAUGUUCCACGUGUGGGAUUUUGUAUGUACCAUAUGAAUAAGGAUCGGCUAACUCCGUGCCAGCAGCCGCGGUAAUACGGAGGAUCCGAGCGUUAUCCGGAUUUAUUGGGUUUAAAGGGAGCGUAGGUGGAUUGUUAAGUCAGUUGUGAAAGUUUGCGGCUCAACCGUAAAAUUGCAGUUGAAACUGGCAGUCUUGAGUACAGUAGAGGUGGGCGGAAUUCGUGGUGUAGCGGUGAAAUGCUUAGAUAUCACGAAGAACUCCGAUUGCGAAGGCAGUUCACUGGACUGCAACUGACACUGAGGCUCGAAAGUGUGGGUAUCAAACAGGAUUAGAUACCCUUGUAGUC